rnacentral:snRNA from 1 species
GGAUGUGAGGGCAGUCUGGCUGCGACAUCUGUUACCCCAUUGAUCAUCACAGGGCUGAUCUGCCUGGCUGGGUGGGUGUCCCCUUCCUCCCUCACUGAUCAUGUGUGUCCCUCCCGAAGCUGCGUGUGUGCUUGAAUGAAGAGGGGAGGACCGGUCUUUGGUCAAGGGUAUAGGAGGAGCUGUGCUCCCCUGCAGAACCUCCAAACAAGCUCUGGUUGCUUUUAAGAUAUUUUUUCUUUAUUUUUGGUUUGGAGCAGUUUGAUUAUGAUGUACCUGAGUGUAGUUUUCUUCAUGUUUCUUAGAUCUGUACAU